ensembl:lncRNA
UUCCAAAAUCCUUGCCAUGGUACAUCUUGUAUAAAUUUUGUCUGUGUGUCCUUUAUCCUAGCUAUGACUGGAUCUUAGCAUCUUUUCUUUUCCAUGCAUGCCAAUUAAUUUCAUCUCUGAAAUCUGUCUCCUCACCAUGCGAAAAUCCUGCAGUUGCUAAUCCACCACAGAAGUGACAUCGACACAGUAUGGCUGAGAGAAUACUUAUAAGGAGCCCAAAUGAAGAAAUAAUUAUGCCGUGGUUUUUGAAGAGGAAUGAGGCAUGAUAUGAACAUAACAAGAAGAAUGAUUUCCACUGCUACAUUUUAUGGCACCAGUGGGACUGCACAAAUUCUGAGAGCAUUUCCUUUCGUGGCCC